UAGAUACCCUGGUAGUCCACGCUGUAGACGAUGUCGAUUUGGAGGUUGUGCCCUUGAGGCGUGGCUUCCGGAGCUAACGCGUUAAAUCGACCGCCUGGGGAGUACGGCCGCAAGGUUAAAACUCAAAUGAAUUGACGGGGGCCCGCACAAGCGGUGGAGCAUGUGGUUUAAUUCGAUGCAACGCGAAGAACCUUACCUACUCUUGACAUCCAGAGAACUUAGCAGAGAUGCUUUGGUGCCUUCGGGAACUCUGAGACAGGUGCUGCAUGGCUGUCGUCAGCUCGUGUUGUGAAAUGUUGGGUUAAGUCCCGCAACGAGCGCAACCCUUAUCCUUUGUUGCCAGCGGUUCGGCCGGGAACUCAAAGGAGACUGCCAGUGAUAAACUGGAGGAAGGUGGGGAUGACGUCAAGUCAUCAUGGCCCUUACGAGUAGGGCUACACACGUGCUACAAUGGCAUAUACAAAGAGAAGCGACCUCGCGAGAGCAAGCGGACCUCAUAAAGUAUGUCGUAGUCCGGAUUGGAGUCUGCAACUCGACUCCAUGAAGUCGGAAUCGCUAGUAAUCGUAGAUCAGAAUGCUACGGUGAAUACGUUCCCGGGCCUUGUACACACCGCCCGUCACACCAUGGGAGUGGGUUGCAAAAGAAGUAGGUAGCUUAACCUUCGGGAGGGCGCUUACCACUUUGUGAUUCAUGACUGGGG
rnacentral:rRNA from 1 species